rnacentral:rRNA from 1 species
CCUACGGGUGGCAGCAGUGAGGAAUAUUGGUCAAUGGGCUUACGCCUGAACCAGCCAAGUCGCGUGAGGGAAGACUGCCCUAUGGGUUGUAAACCUCUUUUGUCAGGGAGCAACGCCGGCUACGUGUAGCCUGACUGAGAGUACCUGACGAACAAGCAUCGGCUAACUCCGUGCCAGCAGCCGCGGUAAUACGGAGGAUGCGAGCGUUAUUCGUAUUUAUUGGGUUUAAAGGGUGCGUAGGCGGAAUGCCAAGUCAGCGGUAAAAUCGCGGGUGUAAAUCUCGCUCCGCCGUUGAAACUGGCGUUCUUGAGUGGGCGAGAGGUAUGCGGAAUGCGUGGUGUAGCGGUGAAAUGCAUAGAUAUCACGAAGAACUCCGAUUGCGAAGGCAGCAUACCGGCGCCCAACUGACGCUGAAGCACGAAAGCGUGGGUAUCGAACAGGAUUAGAUACCCGGGUAGUC